AAGGAUCAUUAAAGAUUUAAAAAUAACGGAAUACACUUUGAAGAGAGACUUGUUGAGGAACAGCCUGCGCUUAAUUGCGCGGUUAGACUGAGACUGGUUGUUAAUUUCUUCAGUUCAGGUGUUUUUCCAUAUUACAACACUGUGGAGUUUUUUCUUUACAAGCAAUUUUUUUUCUUUGGGCGUACGCAAGUGUGCCCAGAGUAUACAAACACAAACAAUUUUGUAAUUUUAAUUUUACUAGUCAAUAGCGCUUAUUUAUUUAAGCAAUAAACCAAAAUAUUCAAAACUUUCAACAACGGAUCUCUUGGUUCUCGCAUCGAUGAAGAACGCAGCGAAAUGCGAUACGUAAUGUGAAUUGCAGAAUUCCGUGAAUCAUCGAAUCUUUGAACGCACAUUGCGCCCCUUGGUAUUCCAGGGGGCAUGCCUGUUUGAGCGUCAUUUCCUUCUCAAACAUUCAUGUUUGGUUGUGAGUGACACUCUUCGGAGUUAACUUGAAAUUGUUGGCUGUUUCGAUUGUCUUUCAAAUUUCUCAAAAAGAAUAUUCUCAGUGAGGAUUGAUUUUUUGUCGUAUUAGGUUUUACCAACUUCGGCGGUAGUCAGUUUGAGCUGGGGGUGUGAAGUUCUGUUUGUAGAAAGUUGUGGCAGUCUGGGCGAACAAUACUCUUUAAGUUUGACCUCAAAUCAGGUAGGAUUACCCGCUGAACUUAA
rnacentral:rRNA from 1 species